UACGUAGGGUGCGAGCGUUGUCCGGAAUUAUUGGGCGUAAAGGGCUCGUAGGCGGUCUGUCGCGUCUGCUGUGAAAACUCAGGGCUUAACCCUGAGCUUGCAGUGGGUACGGGCAGACUAGAGUGCGGUAGGGGAGACUGGAAUUCCUGGUGUAGCGGUGAAAUGCGUAGAGAUGUGGAGGAACACCUGUGGCGAAGGCGCC
rnacentral:rRNA from 1 species